UUGGUUAAGUUAGAAAGGGCGCACGGUGGAUGCCUUGGCACUAGGAGCCGAAGAAGGACGGGACUAACACCGAUAUGCUUUGGGGAGCUGUACGUAAGCGUUGAUCCAGAGAUUUCCGAAUGGGGGAACCCACUAUCUUUAGUCGGAUAGUAUCCUUACGUGAAUACAUAGCGUGAGGAAGGCAGACCCAGGGAACUGAAACAUCUAAGUACCUGGAGGAAGAGAAAGAAAAAUCGAUUUCCUGAGUAGCGGCGAGCGAAACGGAAAGAGCCCAAACCAAGAAGCUUGCUUCUUGGGGUUGUAGGACACUCUAUACGGAGUUACAAAAGAAAGUUAUAAAUGAAGCGGUCUGGAAAGGCCCGCCAAAGACGGUAACAGCCCGGUAGUUGAAAUAGCUUUCCCUCCAGAGUGGAUCCUGAGUACGGCGGAACACGUGAAAUUCCGUCGGAAUCCGGGAGGACCAUCUCCCAAGGCUAAAUACUCCCUAGUGACCGAUAGUGAACCAGUACCGUGAGGGAAAGGUGAAAAGCACCCCGGAAGGGGAGUGAAACAGUUCCUGAAACCGUGUGCCUACAAGUAGUUAGAGCCCGUUAAUGGGUGAUAGCGUGCCUUUUGUAGAAUGAACCGGCGAGUUACGAUUUGUUGCAAGGUUAAGCGGAAAAAGCGGAGCCGUAGCGAAAGCGAGUCUGAAUAGGGCGCAUAAGUAACAGGUCGUAGACCCGAAACCAGGUGAUCUACCCAUGUCCAGGAUGAAGGUAAGGUAAUACUUACUGGAGGUCCGAACCCACGCACGUUGAAAAGUGCGGGGAUGAGGUGUGGGUAGCGGAGAAAUUCCAAUCGAACUUGGAGAUAGCUGGUUCUCUCCGAAAUAGCUUUAGGGCUAGCCUCGAGGUAAAGAGUCAUGGAGGUAGAGCACUGUUUGGACUAGGGGCCCUUCUCGGGUUACCGAAUUCAGAUAAACUCCGAAUGCCAUGUACUUAUACUCGGGAGUCAGACUGCGAGUGAUAAGAUCCGUAGUCGAAAGGGAAACAGCCCAGACCACCAGUUAAGGUCCCCAAAUAUAUGUUAAGUGGAAAAGGAUGUGGGGUUGCUUAGACAACCAGGAUGUUGGCUUAGAAGCAGCCACCAUUGAAAGAGUGCGUAAUAGCUCACUGGUCGAGUGACCCCGCGCCGAAAAUGUACCGGGGCUAAACAUAUUACCGAAACUGUGGAUGAACCUCUUUAGAGGUUCGUGGUAGGAGAGCGUUCUAAGGGCGGUGAAGUCAGACCGGAAGGACUGGUGGAGCGCUUAGAAGUGAGAAUGCCGGUAUGAGUAGCGAAAGAAGGGUGAGAAUCCCUUCCACCGAAUAUCUAAGGUUU
rnacentral:rRNA from 1 species